UGGACAGCCCUGGAGACGGAAGUCUUCUCUUUAACCACAGUCUGGGUGAAGCACAGACAGAGGCAACAAAAAUCUUCCCUGUUUUCCCACCACUGGUUCCCCCGACUACAUAGGAGACCCUCCCUCGUGGGGAGGGAAGGGCACUGAGGUUCAUGCUUGAGUUUAAUUUCACAGGUUGGCUUCC
rnacentral:sRNA from 1 species